rnacentral:rRNA from 1 species
UACAGGGGGUGCAAGCGUUGCUCGGAAUCACUGGGCGUAAAGCGUACGCAGGCGGACCGUUUAGUCGGGUGUGAAAGCCCGGGGCUCAACCCCGGAAAUGCAUUCGAUACUGCGGUGCUUGAGGACUGGAGAGGAGACUGGAAUUCAUGGUGUAGCAGUGAAAUGCGUAGAGAUCAUGAGGAAGACCAGUGGCGAAGGCGGGUCUCUGGACAGUUCCUGACACUGAGGCACGAAGGCCAGGGGAGCAAACGGG